AUGCAUAUCUAUGAUAAUGAGUUGUACCUAGUGGCCCUACCACCUACUGUUCUUCAUUAAGCAAUUUGGUCAAAGUGUAAAUAAGGACAAGUCAGGACAUAUCAAGAAAAGUUUUUGGGAACCAUUACCUAUGGUAUCUAUUCAGAACCAUGACCGAGGAAAACAGUAGGUACCAAUUGGGAGAGGUGCUCCACUCCAACUCUACACACUUCAAGCUGAAGAAGAUGCCAUCAGGGAUGCAGCCGUGGUUGGUUAGCUUCGGCAUCCUUUCAUCCAUGGUCGGCAUCUUUUCAGUUGUGGUUGGUUAGCUUCGACGUCCUUUCAGCUGUGGUUGACAUCUUUUUAGCCGUGAUUGGUUAGCUUCGGCAUCCUUUCAGUCGUGGUCGGCAUCUUUUUAGCCGUGAUUGGUUAGCUUUGGCAUCCUUUCAGUCGUGGUCAGCAUCUUUUUAGCCGUGGUUGUUUCCAUGAUUGUAUUAACACUCACAUGCAGCAUAUUUCAUAUAUCAUUUUCAUAUUUAUCUCAUUUUCUGUA